ACAGUAUAAACACGUCAUCACCUGCGGAUGGGCAGUCAUUCCUUAAAGCUUCGGUUAACUUUUUGCGGCCGCAUGGACAUGAGCUGAUGUGGAGUCGUGAUGAGGAAGAGUUUAAAUCUUUUAUACUCAGUGCAGGUUUCUCCUUGCGACAAAGCUCCUCAGAGUUCUCCAAUUUUGUCUGCCCAUCCGCAUCCACAUAGUGUGAGAGAAAAUACCAUGUCCCUUUGUAUUAGCAUUUGUGUACUCAGAUUUAUCUGAAUGUUUUGGGAAAGCAGAGACUGUCCUAGUUUAGAUACAGUUCUUAUCAUAUUCGCAUCCGCACUCUUCCAAAAACAUUCUAAUCACCAGUAACUUCUUUUAAUGAAUCUUCCACUCAGAAGCAGGGCGGAAGGUGGGGGUCACAAAGGAGAGGGAAGGCUAAAUCAAGAUUAUAAAGAAUGAUGUAGUGAGGGAGCUCUCUGUCUUUUUACACUGACUUGUCUGCUGUAUGGACCCAAAUGCAUUUGCUUAAUAAAUUGUAUUUGCUUCUUAA